rnacentral:lncRNA from 1 species
CAGAUGUUGGAACACGCCCUCAACUUCAUUUGGCUUUUUUUAUAUAAAGUUCCAUAUAUAUAUGAAUGCAAAAUAUCUUUUGUAUAUUGUGUAUACGUACGUGUGCGCAACGUAACCUGUUCACGCACGUGUACAUGAGUCUGGAGAGUGGUUUGUAGCAUCUAAAAAAGCCCAUACGAUAAUAAGCCAAAGGUACGAACGAAGACAGUGAUAAAGGAAAAAAUAUGGAACCAAAGAGAUCCGGAUUCUUGAUACGACCUCUGUACUACGUAAUAAUGUCUGAAGGUGAAUUAGGAGAGAAAAAAUCAUCCAUCAUGGUUCGAGAUACACAUGAGGCCAUUGGAUUUUGAUGGACGGAUGAUGUUUUAGACUGAAGCUUUCUAUGGGUUCCAACAUCAUAGAAUUGAUGAACGUCUUUGCCUAAUUUAUUAUACCCAAAAUUGGAAGCAAAUUAUUUAUUUGGUGCUGAAUGAGACCCAAUUAUGGCUUGUUGAUGAUUACCAUUACUCCUGUAUGAGAAUAAUAAUUAUAAAAAUAGUUUCUCCAUCACAUGUUGAUGGUGCAUCCUGUCUCAUAUUCACUGAUGACACAGACUACAUAAUACCUCUUGGACUUAUCUACAAUGCAGAUACUUUUGAUGACAUACAAAGACGACGAGAUGUUAAGGACAGUGGAGAGAGAAAGGAUGAAGGACUAUAUAGAAGAUGAGGGGGUUAAGUUAGGGGUUAGAUAGGAUAGGGUGUGUCGUCAUGACUACGCAGCAGGAGGCGGAGCAAUCGAUAUACUCUCGCGGCUCACACACUGAGAGGUCUGAUGAAUGCAAUACGUUGAUAAAGGGAUAAAACAAUGAUAGACACUGUACUGCGACAAUGUGGCGUUUGUUUACUCACUUAACUCUAAAUUGAUAGCUCAUUACAUCAAUUAUUAUAUUGAUAACCAUUUAAUAUUUUCUUUAAUUCACAUUUUUCAUUAAAUUUA